UAAAUAGAAGCUAAUAAAUAGCAAUUAACUGUUAAUUAAUUAUAAACUAAUAAAAGUCUAUUUAA
rnacentral:tRNA from 1 species